AGUGAAAGGCUUCUUCUCGAGGAUUCUGCUAAUUUGGCUCAAGCUUUCACUGUGAACUGCAAUCUUCAUGAAUCCAAUCCAUAUUGGUAUGUAGACUCUUGGGCCACGGCUCACAUGGCUCCAUCUUCUGCAUCAGUUGACUCAUCUCUUCCUUAUCAUGGAGAUGAUAAAGUUGCUUUUGGACACGAACACCAAAUCAAUUCUCGCAACCGGAAAGCAUAAGGAUGGGCUAUUCGUGUUUACAUACGGGACCUCAGGCUCUAGCUGCAUCAGUUUCUUCUCCUAUUAAAGCUUCAUUUGAAUUAUGGCACAAACGGCUUGGACAUGUUGCUUUUGAUGUUGUUUCAGUUUUAAAUAACCAUGGACAUUUGCUACUUAAUUCUAUUUUACCAAGACCAAAUAUUUGUUCAUCAUGUGCACUCUCAAAACACCAUCGUUUGCGUUGCCCUUUCAAUUAAAUGAAAAGCGAUCUUUACAUGUUCU